UCCACCAGAUCGCCGAAUUUCCUCGGUGGGAAACGGGGGAACCAGUUCAAAGGGGUUAAUCCCAGCACUCAGAAAUCUGAGUGCUGGGUAGGGCCAUCCUUGGUCCGCACCCGGCAGCUAACCUCGUAGGCGUGGAAGGAGGUGGAA
rnacentral:sRNA from 1 species